AAAAACAAAAUUCGUGCAAAAUCUUGGAGGGAAUAGGAAUUGCGGAGGACAGCCGUCCAAAUACCCAGACUGCGCUCCAACCCACCCCGACUGAUUCGUGCAUGUGCCGUGCGCAUGA